CUUCACUACAACUUUGCAUUGAUUUUGAAUUUUUGAUGUGUAGGAUAGUUGGGAGACUUUGAAGUGGUGUCGCUAGGCAUCAUGGAGUCGUCGUUGAAAUACCAACCUUUAAACAUUUAGAGUCUAAUCCCGAAUGGGAAACAGUGCAUGGUGGGUAGUUUGACUGGGGUGGUCGCCUCCUAAAAUGUAACGGAGGCUUGCAAAGGUUCCCUCAGUACGGUUGGUAAUCGUACAUAGAGCGUAUUAGUAUAAGGGAGCUUGACUGUGAGGCAUACAUGCCGAGCAGGGACGAAAGUCGGCUAAAGUGAUCCGGCGGUUCUGUAUGGAAGGGCCGUCGCUCAAAGGAUAAAAGGUA
rnacentral:rRNA from 1 species